rnacentral:lncRNA from 1 species
AAGACCGGGAAUGUAUCACCUGUGGAUCUCGUGGUAUGCAUCGACCAUGUUUUUUCACUGUCCUUAUUUCACGAGUUGCCCCCUACUGCCAUUUCAGUUCCCGGUGGCCAUAUUGGUACGCUCAACGCAAGGUGGCUGCCAUGUUGUUCCUGCGUGGGCCCAUACAAGUGCCCUAAUAAAAGUCCCAGAGCUGCUGUUAGAGUGCUGUCGAGAGUCCUCAACGUGCGAACCAUGCAACUGUCUUCGUUUGCACCAGGAGAGCAGACAUCUGCCAACUCCCACGGCAUUUCCCUGCUAGCACUGAACGGGGUGACUUCCUUCCCGGUUGACGUCCUCACAACAUUGCCUCGUCUUUGCGAAGCGGCGGCGACACCUGGACCAUGGACUGCAAAGCUGGCAACCACUGACAAGUAGGCGCAUCGCCAGCGAUCCGUCAAGGACCACUGAAACGGCCAUCGUUGCUGCGAGCUUCGUUAGCGGCACCAACUUGGCAGGUGAACCCAUGACAGCUUACCUUGCAGCUUUGCAUCAUGCGCACGCAAUCGAUGAUCCCACAGGUCCUUCUUGUAUUUCAUCCCGCCCUUGUUCCACUGAAGAUAACGUCCCCUGUAAGUGUUCCUCAGCAGACGGUGCUUCUUCUCCUUGCUGGUGCCCAUAGCAUGCUCUUAAUGGACCAUUGCUUGGCAAUCUACAGUGACUUGCCAACACUGUACAUCGACCUAUCAACAUGAAGGUGGCUCACUUUUACUUCUAGCUUGCCAACCUUCACACCUGGCACACGCAAGGGACAAUCCUGCAGGUCCUGGUGCGUCAUUCACUCCUUGCUUCAGAGAAG